GAUUUGGGCGUUGGAUCAGUAAUACUGCGUGGUUUGUAAUGUUACGUGUGCACCUUAGAGGAUAAAUGGGAAGAAUAAGGAAAUGUUUUGCUCCUGGGUGCGUGUCAUGCAGCGAGCACACUGGAAUCAAAUUCUAUUUUCCCAGGGAUUCAGCACGAAUUUGGUGAACACCUCCAAGGAUGACUGAACAGCUUGAGUCCAUAGGUGGAAUCAAUAAUUUUGAUUACAUUUUCGUGUUGUAUCAAAUGUAUUCUAACUGAAUUGAGUACAUUCAUGAUAAAACACCAACUAUGUCAGCUAUAAAUUUUGGUUGAGAAAUAUGUGUAGUAAUAUAUAACACUAAUUAACAAAUGAUAUGGUGCUUUUACACAAGGCCAAAUGGAAGCAAACAGAACUCACACAAUGCAAAUUAAUUCAUUCUCAAUAAUUUUAAAAAUGACAGUUUUAAAUUAAUAUUGUCAGGUGUACCGAAGAGACUAAUAAUUACAGGACAGAUAAGAGCGCUUCUGAGGACGUUAUGUAAUGGCACAAGCAGGACAAUGGACAAUUACCAUGGGAAGGUUUACCAGAAAACAUUCUAUAGACAUUAAAAUGUGUCAUUAUAAUGGAGUGGAAAAUAGAUUUAGGUGUUUGAGGAGAUCUGUAUAGAGAAAUUUCCCUACCCUUUUCCACUGAAAAAGUGUUCAUUGCUAAUGGAACUAAUGAGUUUAUUCUCUCUUUUAAGGAAUUCCCUUUCUUUGAGAAUUAUGAAUUGGAUCUCAAAGGAAGUAUACUUGGAGAUGGAAGUUUCUCAGUGUGUUAUAAAUGCACAAAUUGAGAGACAGGAAGGAAGUAGUGACUUGUAAUAAGUAGUUACUAUAGGAUUCUGAUGAUGGUGUAUAACACACUGAUAUAUUGGGUUUUUGGACUUUAUCC